rnacentral:rRNA from 1 species
CCUACGGGUGGCAGCAGUGGGGAAUAUUGCACAAUGGGGGAAACCCUGAUGCAGCGACGCCGCGUGAGUGAAGAAGUAAUUCGUUAUGUAAAGCUCUAUCAGCAGGGAAGAAAAUGACGGUAACUGAGUAAGAAGCCCCGGCCAACUAAGUGCCAGCAGCCGCGGUAAUACGUAGGGGGCAAGCGUUAUCCGGAUUUACUGGGUGUAAAGGGGGCGUAGACGGCAGUGCAAGUCUGGAGUGAAAGGCGGGGGCUCAACCCCCGGACUGCUCUGGAAACUGCACGGCUGGAGUGCUGGAGAGGUAAGUGGAAUUCCUAGUGUAGCGGUGAAAUGCGUAGAUAUUAGGAGGAACACCAGUGGCGAAGGCGGCUUACUGGACUGUAACUGACGUUGAGGCUCGAAAGCGUGGGGAGCAAACAGGAUUAGAUACCCCAGUAGUC